rnacentral:piRNA from 1 species
UGAACUGGACCAGGAGGAAGAGGUAC